rnacentral:rRNA from 1 species
GGAUGUGGCCAAAUCAUCCAGAAUGUGCCCGACCUCAUUAGAUCAUGGAAGCUAAGCAGAAUUAAGCCUGGAGAGUGCCUCGGAUGAGUGACCGCCAUGCAUAAAACAGGUUCUGUGGGUU